GGAAGGACAUUAAUGAAAUGAAUGUUGAGAAGGGUUGUAGCUGGCCUUUUGGGGCAUGUGCACACCCUGAUCACACAUCCACCUCUCACACUUGUGCACUAUGUGUAGCUUGGGAUGAUUACGAUGUUAGAAAUGAUGUCGAAAGCCCUAGCUAUGAAUUUUUAUAAACUCAUAUAUAAAACUACAGAAUGAAUGAUAGUUAUAGCAUGUAACAGUGCAUAUAUAUAUAUACAACUUUCAGCAACGGAUCUCUUGGCUCUCGCAUCGAUGAAGAACGCAGCGAAAUGCGAUAAGUAAUGUGAAUUGCAGAAUUCAGUGAAUCAUCGAAUCUUUGAACGCACCUUGCGCUCCUUGGUAUUCCGAGGAGCAUGCCUGUUUGAGUGUCAUGAAAUUCUCAACUGCCUUUUAGCAUUUAUUGUUAAAGGUGAAGUUGGACUUGGAGGAUAACUGCUGGCGCAACUUAGGUUGCUUGUUAGCUCCUCUUAAAUGGAUGAGCUUUUCUGAUGGAUCAUAGCUCAGAGUAGUAUCAAUGUGAUAAUUAUCUACAUUAGAUGUGAAAGCUGUGAGUAGAGCAACUUUUUGCUCCUACAGAGAAGGAAAUGUUUUGGGGAUAAUAAACCCAUAUACAAUGACAAAUCUGACCUCAAAUCAGGUAGGACUACCCGCUGAACUUAAGCAUAUCAAUAAGCGGAGGAAAAGAAACUAACAAGGAUUCCCCUAGUAACUGCGAGUGAAGCGGGAAAAGCUCAAAUUUAAAAUCUGGCAUGCCUUUGGCUGUCCGAGUUGUAGUCUGGAGAAGUGUUUUCCGUGCUGGACCAUGUACAAGUCCCUUGGAAUAGGGCGUCAUAGAGGGUGAGAAUCCCGUCUUUGACAUGGACUACCAGUACUUUGUGAUGCGCUCUCAAAGAGUCGAGUUGUUU
rnacentral:rRNA from 1 species